CCAGUCGUAUGAACCGCUAUGCCAUUGUACACACUCACUCACACGUAGUUGGUUGGCGCCCCCCAUUCCACAUACCCCAUCCUCCUGUGGCACCCGGGCACCCCCCACCACCACUGCCACUCUGAAUGGCUGCGGGCAUAUUUAAUUACAAAAGCUGCUAAUUAGGAAACGUACACACCCACGUUGGUUAAUUUGUUUGCAAACCAAUUAACUCGGCGCAUAGUAGCAGGCGCUCAGAAAACCACAGACAGUCGACAGGCAACUCGGACGUCGACCGAGGAGGACGGUGGUCGGGGGCAGGGGCAUUGGAAGGGGCAGCAGCGGCGGUAACAGCAGCAGCAAAAGAAACGCGUCAGCAGCAGCAGCAGCAGCAGCACUAGCAGCAAAUGGUAUAUCGGUCCCUCAGUUCGAUGGGGGUCGUCGGAAGCCUUACAUGGACUUGGUGGCAGAAGCCACCAGCAGCAGCAACAGCAGCAAAAGCAGCAACUGGAUGGCUGGCAGAAGGUUCCUCCGCUCCCGGAAAGAAAGCAGAGAAAGAACUUUCCAAUCAGCAAUGUGGUAUAUUUUAGCCUUAAAUGUGGAGUAAGCCCCUAUAAAAAUGGAGUGCUGAUAAGGCUAAAUACGAUUGCAUCGCAUUACAAAUAUUAUAUAUGUAUACCCAAACACGUAGCAGCCACCUAUGCCCAUUUGCUGGCUGCCCGGAACACUUCCCGAUCCACCAACAACACUAGUACUAAGCCAACCUUAUCACAAAAGAGGUAACAGGCCCCGAAAAGUCAAUGUGCAUGGCACGUCCACCAACCCCCCGCAGAUCCCCUUACAAUUCUACGGCACGUGUUUAUUUUUUUUUGGGUUAUCGCCACCCGUAUUUGUUUAUGGUAGAGAGAACUCUUUUUUUUCCAGCCACACUCCACCUGUUGCCGGUCGCUGAGCGCCUGAUGCGCUGGCAAAUAAUCGAUCGUCAGUUAUUUAUUGAUUUCUGAUUGAUGGGCAGGCCCUCGAUGCAUGAGAGCCACCAAGUUCGAUUAAUGGGGGAAAAAGGGUGAGAACGUGGGAUCUUCGAACCCGCUGGGGCGGAUUAGCCAGCUUUGGGCAUGCGGCAAGCAGCAACCAGCAAUAGGCCGAGAUCGCCGUCGCCGCCGCCGUGGAAAUUUGAAUAAUAUUACCAACCAAGCAGUUACAACAACAGGGGCGCGAGCGAUAAGAGCUUAACUUAUCAAUGCAUAAAUUAAUUUGUAUUUUUUGUUAACUUUAGUUUAUUCAUUUUUGAAAUGUCUAUAACAGAAACCCAAGAAAUUGUAUGCAAUAUACGUAUAACUUUUCUAAAACA